rnacentral:lncRNA from 1 species
CAGAAAGGAGCAAUUACCCCACCGGGCCCCUGGGCAAGUACCCCAAGAGUGCCUGAGUAGCCCCAGCUCCACCCAGACUACAGUGCCACAGCCACCAACCAGACUGUCUGUCUCGAGCCUCCAUUUUCUCACUUCCACCCUCCAGGCAGCUGCAAGGUUAGUGCCCUACAAAUCACAGCUCACUCUUAUCACAGAACAGAACUCAUCAUCUUCAGCCUGGAGUU